GGAGGUUCUCGGGUGACACACCCCAGAAUUGGGCUCCCUCCUCUUUAGUUCUGGGGUGCAUCACCUGAGAACCGCC
rfam:Myotis lucifugus cont2.7474, whole genome shotgun sequence.